AUACGUAGGUAGCAAGCGUUAUCCGGAAUUAUUGGGCGUAAAGAGUGAGCAGGCGGUUAAUUAAGUCUGAGGUUAAAGCGUGGGGCUCAACCCCAUAAAGCCUUGGAAACUGAUUGACUAGAGUACGGGAGAAGGGAAGGGAACUCCAUGUGUAGCGGUGAAAUGCGUAGAUAUAUGGAAGAACACCAGUGGCGAAGGCGCUUCACUAGCCCGAAACUGACGCUCAGUCACGAAAGCGUGGGUAGCAAAUAGGAUUAGAUACCCUAGUAGUCCACGCUGUAAACGAUGACAACUAAAUAUUGCCGCGAGGCAGUGUUGAAGCUAACGCAUUAAGUUGUCCGCCUGGGGAGUACGGUCGCAAGACUGAAACUUAAAGGAAUUGGCGGGG
rnacentral:rRNA from 1 species